UACGGGGGGGGCAAGCGUUGUUCGGAAUUACUGGGCGUAAAGGGCUCGUAGGCGGCCAACUAAGUCAGACGUGAAAUCCCUCGGCUUAACCGGGGAACUGCGUCUGAUACUGGAUGGCUUGAGGUUGGGAGAGGGAUGCGGAAUUCCAGGUGUAGCGGUGAAAUGCGUAGAUACCUGGAGGAACACCGGUGGCGAAGGCGGCUCACUGGCCCGGUACUGACGCUGAGGUGCGAAAGCGUGGGGAGCAAACAGG
rnacentral:rRNA from 1 species